UACGUAGGGUCCGAGCGUUGUCCGGAGUUACUGGGCGUAAAGCGCGCGCAGGCGGCUCGUCAAGUCUGGCGUGAAAGCCCCCGGCUCAACCGGGGAGGGUCGUCGGAGACUGGCGAGCUUGAGGGCGGUAGGGGCUGGUGGAAUUCCCGGUGUAGUGGUGAAAUGCGCAGAUAUCAGGAGGAACACCGAUGGCGAAGGCAGGUCUCUGGGCCGAUACUGACGCUGAGGAGCGAAAGCGUGGGGAGCGAACAGG
rnacentral:rRNA from 1 species